rnacentral:rRNA from 1 species
AUCUGGAGGAAUACCGGUGGCGAAGGCGGCCCCCUGGACGAAGACUGACGCUCAGGUGCGAAAGCGUGGGGAGCAAACAGGAUUAGAUACCCUGGUAGUCCACGCUGUAAACGAUGUCGAUUUGGAGGUUGUGCCCUUGAGGCGUGGCUUCCGGAGCUAACGCGUUAAAUCGACCGCCUGGGGAGUACGGCCGCAAGGUUAAAACUCAAAUGAAUUGACGGGGGCCCGCACAAGCGGUGGAGCAUGUGGUUUAAUUCGAUGCAACGCGAAGAACCUUACCUACUCUUGACAUCCAGAGAACUUAGCAGAGAUGCUUUGGUGCCUUCGGGAACUCUGAGACAGGUGCUGCAUGGCUGUCGUCAGCUCGUGUUGUGAAAUGUUGGGUUAAGUCCCGCAACGAGCGCAACCCUUAUCCUUUGUUGCCAGCGGUUCGGCCGGGAACUCAAAGGAGACUGCCAGUGAUAAACUGGAGGAAGGCGGGGAUGACGUCAAGUCAUCAUGGCCCUUACGAGUAGGGCUACACACGUGCUACAAUGGCGUAUACAAAGAGAAGCGACCUCGCGAGAGCAAGCGGACCUCAUAAAGUACGUCGUAGUCCGGAUUGGAGUCUGCAACUCGACUCCAUGAAGUCGGAAUCGCUAGUAAUCGUAAAUCAGAAUGUUACGGUGAAUACGUUCCCGGGCCUUGUACACACCGCCCGUCACACCAUGGGAGUGGGUUGCAAAAGAAGUCAAUAGCUUAACCUUCGGGAGGGCGUUGACCACUUUGUGAUUCAUGACUGGGGUGAAGUCGUAACAAGGUAACCGUAAAUCGAAUUC